GCACAAGCGGUGAGUAUGUUGUUUAAUUCGACGCUACGCGAAGAACCUUACCUGGGCUCGAACGACUAGUGGUGGUCCUUAUGAAAGUAGGGGCGACCCGCAAGGGAGCUAGCCGAGGUGCUGCAUGGCUGCCGUCAGCUCGUGUCGUGAGAUGUUGGGUUAAGUCCCGCAACGAGCGCAACCCUUGUCCUGUGUUGCUACCCCGCAAGGGGAGGACUCUCAGGAGACUGCCGUGGAUAACACGGAGGAAGGUGGGGACGACGUCAAGUCAUCAUGGCCUUUAUGUCCAGGGCUACACACGUGAUACAAUGGUGCAGACAGAAGGUUGCAAGACCGUAAGGUGGAGCCAAUCCCCAAACUGCACCCUAGUUCAGAUUGAGGGCUGCAAUUCGCCCUCAUGAAGCUGGAAUCGCUAGUAAUCGCAGAUCAGCAGGCUGCGGUGAAUACGUUCCCGGGCCUU
rnacentral:rRNA from 1 species